UUGUUUUAUUUACUUUGAAAUGCACUCGUAGAUUUGAUCCACGUGCUUUGCACGAUUUGCUUGCAUUUACAGGUUCGUGAGAAUAACGUCCCAUCGUCAUACAUACCUUUUAACAGCACGAUUUUAAAGGAAAAA